CCAAUAGCGUAUAUUAAAGUUGUUGCAGUUAAAAAGCUCGUAGUUGAACUUCGGGGUCUACCCAUUGGUCAGGCUUAAUUGUCUGCACUGGUGAGAUGGAUCUCUACCUUCUGAGGAACUUUCAUGCCAUUUAUUUGGUGUGGUUGGAAAUCAGGACUGUUACUUCGAAAAAAUUAGUGUGUUUAAAGCAGACUAUCGUCUGAAUACAUUAGCAUGGAAUAAUGAAAUAGGACGGACUGAUUCUAUUUCUUUGGUUUCUAGGAUCACCGUAAUGAUUAAUAGGGAUAGUUGGGGGCAUUAGUAUUCAAUUGUCAGAGGUGAAAGUCUUGGAUUUAUUGAAGACUAACUACUGCGAAAGCAUUUGCCAAGGAUGUUUUCAUUAAUCAAGAACGAAAGUUAGGGGAUCGAAGACGAUCAGAUACCGUCGUAGUCUUAACCAUAAACUAUGCCGACUAGGGAUCGGACGAAGUUAAUUUUAUAAUGACGCGUUCGGCACCUUACG
rnacentral:misc_RNA from 1 species